AAUGAACGCUGGCGGCAGGCCUAACACAUGCAAGUCGAACGGAUCCUUCGGGAUUAGUGGCGGACGGGUGAGUAACGCGUGGGAACAUACCCAAAGGUACGGAAUAGCCUCGGGAAACUGGGAGUAAUACCGUAUGUGCUCGAAAGAGGAAAGAUUUAUCGCCUUUGGAUUGGCCCGCGUUGGAUUAGGUAGUUGGUGGGGUAAUGGCCUACCAAGCCGACGAUCCAUAGCUGGUUUGAGAGGAUGAUCAGCCACACUGGGACUGAGACACGGCCCAGACUCCUACGGGAGGCAGCAGUGGGGAAUCUUAAACAAUGGGGGAAACCCUGAUCUAGCCAUGCCGCGUGAUCGAUGAAGGCCUUAGGGUUGUAAAGAUCUUUCAGGUGGGAAGAUAAUGACUGUACCACCAGAAGAAGCCCCGGCUAACUCCGUGCCAGCCGCCGCCGUAACAC
rnacentral:rRNA from 1 species